AGGAUCAGUGAUGACCGCUAGAGUCGUAUGAGUCACGGAUGAUGACUACAGUGCUCGAGUCUGAGGUCCAA
rnacentral:snoRNA from 1 species